CUUUUAACUUGAACGUAUUCAAACCCUAAUCCUUCCAUGAUAACCAUCCAAAUAAUGAAAUCAGGAAGCAAGCUGGAUUGCCACGUACCAUAAUGUUGCACAAGCCUUGGUAAAUCCACUUGUUACAUUGCAACCAGGCACAAAUAGAAAAACAGUUUUGCACUUGUUCUAAACUGCGCACUACCACCACCACUACCACUGAUACCUGGAAUUUAUCAACGGGCACAUCUUUAGUUGUGACAGUUCCUAAACCCGGUAGUUUCUUUUGCAUCCGCAUACAAUAUCACGCUGUAUCGUGUUUCUGUGUCCAAACCAACGUUCGUAUGAAAAACGUUAGCUCCAGUUCGGGCAUCUUGAGCACGGUGAUCGCCAUCACCUUGACUAGCAUGUUCCUGACCGUCCUUACGUACAAGUACAAAGUACGCAUGGAUGAUGUUCAUCAAUUGAAACAUGGUUUCCGAGGUGGACAUCUCAGACGAACGGGCAAAUUCCAUCACCAUCAGAAACAUUUGCGCCAGGUGGAGAUUCCGCUGGCUCGAGGAAAGCAUCAUCAACGGCGGGAACGUCAUCAAGAGGAAAACAAUAAGAAUCAUUUUGAUCAUCAUGGUGGCGAGCGGGCCGAUUUGCCCGUUCGCACCAAGCUAUCUUCAGUUCUAGGCUUGAAUUAAGAUAUGUUUUCAUUGUCAAUCAGAAAAUGCCUUUGAGGAGGGCAUCAUCAAUGAGUGAAGAAUUUGUGUGUCAAAGGAUGUGGCUAGGAGUCUUAUUACGACUUUUUUAUAACGAUGAUUGUAGUGGCGAGCGUGAUCGUGGGCUAAUUUUUAUCUACUGUGAUGACGUCAUGACCUAAUUCGUUGAUGUACCGUUAUACCUUUGAGCAAAACGAAAUCAGAAAUACAAUUGGAUCUUAAUGACUCAAAAUCACAAAA